UUUUUUGAACCAACUUAUCUACUGAUUAGGUUAUAUCGAUUUCUUUUCAUUUAUAAUUUUCCUUUCGUUAAUACAUUUAUUGUAAUGUUUUUUUUUGUUUUUUUUUUCUUUUUUUUUUGUAACAAAAAGGGGUAAUUUUGUCAAAGGCAUGCGUCAAUUUCUGGUUUGCAGUGAAGGUCCAAACUCUUGCGGACUUUACUUAUUUAAAAUUUGCAUUUUCUUAGGACAUUGAUAUAAUUACUAUAUUAAUAUUACAUAUAUAGUAAUAUCUCUAUGCAUAGAGGGGGGGGGGCGACUAUUUGAAAUUCUAGGUAAGACUAGUUGGUUGGAAUUCGAAGAGAAUCCUGGUGUCUUCGUACUAGUACUUGCCCGUCCUGGGUGCUUUACCUUUAUAUCCAUUCAACGGUACCUGUUUUCUUUUUUAAUUUUUCAAUUUUGUUUUAUGUAAAUUAUUUUAAUGAAGUAUGUAAAAGUUUGUUGCCGAUUUGUGGAAUAAACUGCAUAAACCAUAACAUUGGAGAUCUAUAGUAGGAUUUUGUUCUCGAUUGACUAUUUAUUUGCAUCCAUUGAAUUACUCCAUAUGCUUUAUGUCUAAAUACAUUUCACUUUUGCAUACAGAUGCAGAAUAUUCCUUUGCAGCCUAUCUGUGGUCAUGUUAUUUAGGGGUCUUUUGUACAUGUAGCUUACUAUACGUUAUUGGUUCUGCUAAAUGUUGAAGGCCGUCAGAGAUCUAUAUGCAUUGACCUUUUAGUCAUUUGGUAUGUGGUGGAGAGUAAUCUCAUUGGCAAUCAUACCCCAACUGCAGGCAAACUGAAAGGGAACUAUAGUACCUUUAAAAAAUAAUUUCUAACAAAAAACUGUUUCACUUAAAAAAAUCAAUGAAAUAUUUCAAAUGAUACAAUGUAGGUAGCAAUAUGGAAUAUUUUUUGUAUGUUGUGCAUCUCUUUUCUCCUUUCAGUCAUAGGGGCUAUGUUGUAUGGUUGGCUGUAUCAUACAUUUGUAACUGGUGAUAAGACAUACAUGUAGUAAUGCAGUGUUGAAUACUGGUUCCCCUCUCCUUAAAUUGAAAAGGGAUAAAAUUAUUAAAGUAUUUCACUAAAUCUCAACAACAGGGCAAAAGUGAAGGUAAUCAAUCUAAGCACACUAUUGGUUUUGCUCAUGUUAUCUGCUCUUUGGUAGGGGUGCUGUAUCUUUGACACAAUCCCCAUUUCCAUUUUCAAUUUUAUAGAUUAUUUAAGUAUGUGAUAUGUGAUAAAUAUCAAAAGUGAGUUAUUGAUCAAUAUUCAGCCUCUUGUGGUUCAAUUCUGAAAAAAAUUUAAACAAAAUUGAGUUUUACAACUGAUGGGUAAAAGU
rnacentral:lncRNA from 1 species